UCCUUUACUUUCUUGGAGGCCAAACACCACACAUUUGCUCCACCCUUACACCACCACCUUAACCCACCAUCUCCACCACCUCCGACCACCUUAUCUCGCCGGAAAAAGGGUCCGGUCGGCCACUCCUUAAAUCCAUCCGAAAAUAACACAAUAGAAGCACCAACUCUAGAUUUUUCUUAAUCUUUUGAAGAAUCAAAGCAUGGGAUUUAUUUUCUUGAUGGAUUAGAGGCUUGUAAUUGGAUUGGAGGAAGGCAUCUCUACACCUCUUGGAAAUUAAUUUGUAGAAUUUCAAAUCUACACUUUUGCUAUUUUUGGAGAUUCAUAGACUUUUGUGUGGCUCGCCUCAACUUGGAAGACUAGAAUUUUUUUGAAGGAUCACAGGUGGGCAUCUUGUGGUUGAGGUUUUGCUUAGGGUCAUUCUAGGAUGUAAGCUUACCCUUUUUUUUUAUGAAGGAG